CGCGUAGAGAUAGGGAGGCACACCAGUGGAGAAGGAGACUUUGGGGUCUGUAAGACACAGUGAGGCGAGAAAGCGUGGGGAGCACACAGGAUUAGAUCCCGUGGUUGUCCACGCCGUAAACGAAGAGUGAUAAGUGUGAGAGGGUUUCCCCCCUUUAGUGGUGAAGUUAACGCUUUACGCACUCCGCGUGGGGAGUACGGCCGCAAGGGUGAAACUCAAAGGAAUUGACGGGGGCCCGCACAAGCGGUGGCGCAUGUGGUUUAAUUAGAAGCAACGAGAAGAACCUUCCCAGGUCUUGACAUUCUGUGAAAACCCGAGAGAUAGGGUUUCUCUUUCGGGAGCAGAGUGACAGGUGGUGCAUGGUUGUCGUCAGCUCGUGUCGUGAGAUGUUGGGUUAAGUCCCGCAACGAGCGCAACCCUUGAUCUUAGUUGCCAUCAUUAAGUUGGGCACUCUAAGGUGACUGCCGGUGACAAACCGGAGGAAGGUGGGGAUGACGUCAAAUCAUCAUGCCCCUUAUGACCUGGGCUACACACGUGCUACAAUGGACGGUACAAAGAGCUGCAAGACCGCGAAGGUGGAGCGUAAUCUCAUAAAACCGUUCUCAGUUCGGAUUGUAGGCUGCAACUCGCCUACAUGAAGCCCUGGAAUCGCUAGUAAUCGCGGAUCAGCAUGCCCGCCGAUGCCGCG
rnacentral:rRNA from 1 species